rnacentral:rRNA from 1 species
AUUGAACGCUGGCGGAAUGCCUUACACAUGCAAGUUGAACGGCAGCACGGACUUCGGUCUGGUGGCGAGUGGCGAACGGGUGAGUAAUGUAUCGGAACGUGCCCAGUCGUGGGGGAUAACGUAGUGAAAAUUACGCUAAUACCGCAUACGAUCUAUGGAUGAAAGCGGGGGAUCGCAAGACCUCGCGCGAUUGGAGCGGCCGAUAUCAGAUUAGGUAGUUGGUGGGGUAAGGGCCCACCAAGCCAACGAUCUGUAGCUGGUCUGAGAGGACGACCAGCCACACUGGAACUGAGACACGGUCCAGACUCCUACGGGAGGCAGCAGUGGGGAAUUUUGGACAAUGGGCGAAAGCCUGAUCCAGCCAUUCCGCGUGCAGGAUGAAGGCCCUCGGGUUGUAAACUGCUUUUGUACAGAACGAAAAGGUUUCUACUAAUACUAGGAGCUCAUGACGGUACUGUAAGAAUAAGCACCGGCUAACUACGUGCCAGCCGCCGCGGUAA